rnacentral:misc_RNA from 1 species
UAUAAGAAAGUGCGCAAGGGAUGGCAGCGACAUCCCCCGAUUUUUAUCGGGGAUAUAGCGAACAGCCCGACCCUAU